rnacentral:rRNA from 1 species
UACAGGGGGGGCAAGCGUUGUUCGGAAUUACUGGGCGUAAAGGGUUCGUAGGUGGCCACUUAAGUCAGACGUGGAAUCCCUCAGCUUAACUGGGGAACUGCGUCUGAUACUGAGUGGCUUGAGUGCAGGAGAGGGAUGCGGAAUUCCUGGUGUAGCGGUGAAAUGCGUAGAUAUCAGGAGGAAUACCGGUGGCGAAAGCGACUCUCUGGACGGCAACUGACGCUGAGGCACGAAAGCGUGGGGAGCAAACAGG